rfam:Aquamicrobium defluvii strain W13Z1 genomic scaffold V9__scaffold_14, whole genome shotgun sequence.
CCACCAGGCCGGGCCCCUCUGGCAGUCUUCAUGGCUGUGAUGUCGGACUGGAGUU